GGAGCUAAUCCCUUAAAGCUACUCUCAGUUCGGAUUGUAGGCUGAAACUCGCCUACAUGAAGCUGGAGUUACUAGUAAUCGCAGAUCAGAAUGCUGCGGGGAAUGCGUUCCCGGGUCUUGUACACACCGCCCGUCACACCACGGGAGUUGGAGACGCCCGAAGCCGAUUAUCUAACCUUUUGGAAGAAGUCGUCGAAGGUGGAAUCAAUAACUGGGGUGAAGUCGUAACAAGGUAGCCGUAUCGGAAGGUGCGGCUGGAUCACCUCCUUUCUAAGGAGA
rnacentral:rRNA from 1 species